rnacentral:rRNA from 1 species
UUGUUAGAGAAGAACAAGGAUGAGAGUAGAACGUUCAUCCCUUGACGGUAUCUAACCAGAAAGCCACGGCUAACUACGUGCCAGCAGCCGCGGUAAUACGUAGGUGGCAAGCGUUGUCCGGAUUUAUUGGGCGUAAAGCGAGCGCAGGCGGUUUCUUAAGUCUGAUGUGAAAGCCCCCGGCUCAACCGGGGAGGGUCAUUGGAAACUGGGAGACUUGAGUGCAGAAGAGGAGAGUGGAAUUCCAUGUGUAGCGGUGAAAUGCGUAGAUAUAUGGAGGAACACCAGUGGCGAAGGCGGCUCUCUGGUCUGUAACUGACGCUGAGGCUCGAAAGCGUGGGGAGCGAACAGGAUUAGAUACCCUGGUAGUCCACGCCGUAAACGAUGAGUGCUAAGUGUUGGAGGGUUUCCGCCCUUCA